rnacentral:rRNA from 1 species
ACAGGAACACUUGCUGCUUCGCUGACGAGUGGCGGACGGGUGAGUAAUGUCUGGGAAACUGCCUGAUGGAGGGGGAUAACUACUGGAAACGGUAGCUAAUACCGCAUAACGUCGCAAGACCAAAGAGGGGGACCUUCGGGCCUCUUGCCAUCGGAUGUGCCCAGAUGGGAUUAGCUAGUAGGUGGGGUAACGGCUCACCUAGGCGACGAUCCCUAGCUGGUCUGAGAGGAUGACCAGCCACACUGGAACUGAGACACGGUCCAGACUCCUACGGGAGGCAGCAGUGGGGAAUAUUGCACAAUGGGCGCAAGCCUGAUGCAGCCAUGCCGCGUGUAUGAAGAAGGCCUUCGGGUUGUAAAGUACUUUCAGCGGGGAGGAAGGCGAUAAGGUUAAUAACCUUGUCGAUUGACGUUACCCGCAGAAGAAGCACCGGCUAACUCCGUGCCAGCAGCCGCGGUAAUACGGAGGGUGCAAGCGUUAAUCGGAAUUACUGGGCGUAAAGCGCACGCAGGCGGUCUGUCAAGUCGGAUGUGAAAUCCCCGGGCUCAACCUGGGAACUGCAUUCGAAACUGGCAGGCUAGAGUCUUGUAGAGGGGGGUAGAAUUCCAGGUAUAGCGGUGAAAUGCGUAGAGAUCUGGAGGAAUACCGGUGGCGAAGGCGGCCCCCUGGACAAAGACUGACGCUCAGGUGCGAAAGCGUGGGGAGCAAACAGGAUUAGAUACCCAGGUAGUCCACGCCGUAAACGAUGUCGACUUGGAGGUUGUGCCCCUUGAGGCGUGGCUUCCGGAGCUAACGCGUUUAAGUCGACCGCCUGGGGAGUACGGCCGCCAAGGUUAAAAACUCAAAUGAAUUGACGGGGGCCCCCCACAAGCGGUGGAGCAUGUGGUUUAAUUCGAUGCAAC